CACCUGCUCUGUGGAAUGGGCUUUGAUCACAAUGGUUAGAGUUCUGAGGUUGCCUCUUUACAAUGGGUCAUAUCUGGCAAGCCAGUAAAUCAUCAGGCUUUAGGCUGCAUGUGCAUAAGUGGGGCUGUCCAGGGGGCAGGCAUACUGAAUUGGUCUGGGGACCAUCCCACACCUGCUGGAGGCCAAGGACAGAUGGCACGUUUUCCUGGGUCACAGCUACCCAGCCUGGUUGGAGCUUGGAGGGUCAAGUGAGUGCACUGUCUUCUGGAGGCCCGGGAGAGGGCUCUUUCACUCCACUCCUCCAUUUGGAUCGAUUACAGGAGUCUAGUGCAAUGAGCUAAAAUAGAGGAGACCCACUGGCUUAUGGAGGACCCUGGGAUCAUGACCAGAGCAGAAGGCAAAUACUUAACCAACUGAGCCAACCAGGCACCCCAUUUUAAGAAAAGAGAAAUACCAUGUGAAGACAGAGCCACACAGGAGAGAAUGUCAUGUGGCCAUGAAGACAGAGACUGAAACGCUGUGGUUACAAGCCAAGGAAAGCCUGGCGCUGUUGAAAAAUAAGGAGAACUGUUAUCAUCAUCUCUAUUCUGAGGAGUAGACAGGCGAUUAUGAAAAAGGAAGAGCUAAGACAGGGAAGAGAACCACUAUGCACGGAGCACCAUUAGAAACAUCUCAUCUGAUUCUGACACCCUGUAUGUGGCAGGACCCCCUUUCCACCAGAAAAGACAUAAUGAACCGCCGGGAUGGCUGUCUCCUGUGCAUGGUUCCCAGGAUGCGCUGCUGGUCUGCUUGCUGCCACUGUGAUUUCCAAACUCUUGGCUGAGCUGGGAUGUUAUGUUUCUAAUUAGACAACUGUCUGCUGUGUGGGCUAAUAGCAUCUUUGGUGAUACAGGGUGACUGCUGUAAUGUUUCAUAGCCAUUCAUAAAAGCACAAUCUAAAAGGAAAGCGCUAACAUGUAAUUUGCAGUCAUGACUUCCAGCACUAAUUGAGAAAGUGUCUCUGUGGUCCCGGGGUUUGAGCCUCUGCCUGCUAGUUCUCUGAAGGGUGUGGGACACCAGCAACCUGCCCAGCUGCUUUGUCUUCCCAUCAGGACUGCCUGCCUCUGGGAAACUCCCUAACUUCUGAAACAAGUGUUCUGGGGUGUUCCCAUGUGAAUGGUGUCACCUGGGAAGCUGUUACUUAAGCCUGUGAGGCUGAGCUGAAACAGAGGAAGAACAAAAGGGUAUGAUGUCCUUUUUUCAGGAUGCUUAAUUUGCUCUGAAUUCUGGUGAGUAGUUUUCUAGGACCACAAUGACUUGCUCUCACCUGAUGGCCAACCAUAUUUUCUUUGUCCUGGGAUGUGCUUAUCAGAAAAAUGGGCCAGACUCGAUAGACAGAGCCAGUUCAACUUUGGGGAUUUUGCUCAUGGAGCAUCACGCACAAGGGUAGGGUUAGAGCACACGGAUUAGAGUUACCUUUCUCAAAGGAAGUACUGGCCUUUCUGGCCCUGGGGAAAGACCCAAGCACAUCUUUACGUUUCUCUCUGCCAGGACAUCCAGUUCUUGGGCUUAAUAAUUCCAAAUACAGAGGUCUGUCAUUUAAAUGAAAAAAAAUCACAAAUUAUACACAAUUUUCUGGAUUUAGAGGGGAUAAAGGGGAUCGCCAUUGGAUGUAUAGUAUGUUUGAGAGCUGGAUUAAGAUGUGAGUAUAUAAAAAAUACAGAAUAACAAUAAAAAACAGAUGCUCCAGAGAAAGCAAAGUAGUCUACAAGUAUGUAAUGAUCCCCAAACAAAUCAAUCACGUAAAAUCUAUAGAUUUGAAGACAGGGAUUUUACACAACUGAUAGAAAAUAGACAACAUAAAAUAGAAAUUAUCGUGCAUGUAUCCUAUGCAAAUAGAUUAGAAUGCAGACACUCACACUUACAGCCUUAUCUUCCCAUCUGACCCACUCACACAGAUGACAGGGCUCCAUAAACACUGUUCUCUGUCUUCCAUUUCUUUUAUCUUAAUGAUAUAUAUUGUAGGAAUUUUCAUAUUGGUACAUACCAUUCCUUUUAUAGAAUUCUAGCACAUUAUUCCUUUUAAUGGUUCAAAGUUUUUCACUGUAUAAAUUUACCUUAAUCUAAAUCCACAAUCACCUAUUAAUGAACAUGUAGAUUGUUUCCAGUUUGGAGCAUUUUCCUUUUUUAUUUCUUCUCCAAGCAAUACGGCAAUGAAUAUCCUUAGACAUAAAUCACUGAGUGCUUGUGUGGGUAUGUCUGUAGAAAAAAAAUUUGUUUGGAGUGGAAUUUCUGAGCUAAAGAGUAUUUUAAUAGAUAUUGACCUUUUGCCAAAUUGAUCUUCAAAGAGUUUAUGCCAGUAUAACCUCCCAUUACCACCAUGUAGAUAUGUGUUGCUGCAAGAUCUUGCCCACUCCAUGUUUUGCAAUCCUUUUUAAUUCUUGCCAAUCUGUUAGGUAAAAAUAAACACAAUAUCCUGUUGUUUUAAUUUGCAUUUACUAAAUCACUGUGUGAAGUUAAGAUUCUGUUCCUGUCAUUCUGAGGGAUUUGUUUUUCUUUUUCUGA